AUUGAACGCUGGCGGCAGGCCUAACACAUGCAAGUCGAACGAGUGGCGGACGGGUGAGUAAUGUCUGGGAAACUGCCUGAUGGAGGGGGAUAACUACUUGAAACGGUAGCUAAUACCGCAUACCAUCGGAUGUUCCCAGAUGGGAUUAGCUAGUAGGUGGGGUAACGGCUCACCUAGGCGACGAUCCCUAGCUGGUCUGAGAGGAUGACCAGCCACAUGGAAACUGAGACACGGUACAGACUCCUACGGGAGGUAGCAGUGGGGUAUAUUGCAGAAUGGGAGCAAGCCUGAUGCAGCCAUGCCGCGUGUAUGAAGAAGGCCUUCGGGUUGUAAAGUACUUUCAGCGGGGAGGCGUUACCCGCAGAAGAAGCACCGGCUAAAUCCGUGCCAGCAGCCGCGGUAAUAC
rnacentral:rRNA from 1 species